rnacentral:rRNA from 1 species
CGCCUUGCCAGCCCGCUCAGAAACUUAAAGGAAGUUGACGGGGCCGCACAAGCGGUGGAGCAUGUGGUUAAUUCGAUGAUACGCGAGGAACCUUACCUGGGCUCAAAUGUAUGUUGACGUAUUCUGAAAGGGAUACUUCUUCGGACAAUAUACAAGGUGCUGCAUGGUUGUCGUCAGCUCGUGCCGUGAGGUGUCGGGUUAAGUCCCAUAACGAGCGCAACCCCUAUCAUUAGUUGCCAUCAGGUCAAGCUGGGGACUCUAAUGAAACUGCCUACGCAAGUAGUGAGGAAGGUGGGGAUGACGUCAAAUCAGCACGGCCCUUACGUCCAGGGCUACACACGUGCUACAAUGGCCGGUACAAAGGGCAGCUACCUGGUGACAGGAUGCUAAUCUCAAAAGCCGGUCUCAGUUCGGAUCGGAGUCUGCAACCCGACUCCGUGAAGCUGGAAUCGCUAGUAAUCGUGGAUCAGCCAAGCCGCGGUGAAUACGUUCCCGGGCCUU